UACAGAGGGUGCGAGCGUUAAUCGGAUUUACUGGGCGUAAAGCGUGUGUAGGUGGCUUCCUAAGUCGAUUGUGAAAUCCCUGGGCUCAACCUGGGAAUUGCAGUCGAUACUGGGGAGCUCGAGUUCGGUAGAGGACGGCGGAAUUCCUGGUGUAGCGGUGAAAUGCGCAGAUAUCAGGAGGAACACCAGCGGCGAAGGCGGCGCUCUGGGCCGGAACUGACGCUGAGGAGCGAAAGCGUGGGUAGCAAACAGG
rnacentral:rRNA from 1 species